rnacentral:rRNA from 1 species
UACGUAGGGGGCUAGCGUUGUCCGGAUUUAUUGGGCGUAAAGAGCUCGUAGGUGGUUCGGUAAGUCGGAUGUGAACUCUCCAGGCUCAACCUGGAGGGGUCAUUCGAUACUGCCGUGACUAGAGUUCGGUAGAGGAGUGUGGAAUUCCUGGUGGAGCGGUGAAAUGCGCAGAGAUCAGGAGGAACACCGGUGGCGAAGGCGGGUCUCUGGGCCAAAACUGACGCUGAGGAGCGAAAGCGUGGGGAGCGAACAGG